rnacentral:rRNA from 1 species
UACAGAGGUCUCAAGCGUUGUUCGGAUUCAUUGGGCGUAAAGGGUGCGUAGGUGGCGCGCUAAGUCAGGUGUGAAAUCUCGGGGCUUAACUCCGAAACUGCAUUUGAUACUGGCGUGCUUUGAGGACUGGAGAGGAGACUGGAAUUCAUGGUGUAGCAGUGAAAUGCGUAGAGAUCAUGAGGAAGACCAGUGGCGAAGGCGGGUCUCUGGACAGUUCCUGACACUGAGGCACGAAGGCCAGGGGAGCAAAACGGGG